GUGUUCACUUUGAUAGCACAUAUAUUAAAAUUGGAAUGAUACAGAGAAGAUUAUCAUGGCUUCUGCGCAAGGUUGGCGUGCAAAUUCAGGAAGUGUUCCAUAUUUUU